GAUGAACGCUGGCGGCGUGCCUAAUACAUGCAAGUCGAGCGAACGGACGAGAAGCUUGCUUCUCUGAUGUUAGCGGCGGACGGGUGAGUAACACGUGGAUAACCUACCUAUAAGACUGGGAUAACUUCGGGAAACCGGAGCUAAUACCGGAUAAUAUUUUGAACCGCAUGGUUCAAAAGUGAAAGACGGUCUUGCUGUCACUUAUAGAUGGAUCCGCGCUGCAUUAGCUAGUUGGUAAGGUAACGGCUUACCAAGGCAACGAUGCAUAGCCGGCCUGAGAGGGUGAUCGGCCACACUGGAACUGAGACACGGUCCAGACUCCUACGGGAGGCAGCAGUAGGGAAUAUUCCGCAAUGGGCGAAAGCCUGACGGAGCGACGCCGCGUGAGUGAUGAAGGUCUUCGGAUCGUAAAACUCUGUUAUUAGGGAAGAACAGAUGUGUAAGUAACUGUGCACAUCUUGACGGUACCUAAUCAGAAAGCCACGGCUAACUACGUG
rnacentral:rRNA from 1 species